rnacentral:lncRNA from 1 species
AGUACCCCGGCCGCGACCCUCCGAGCCCCUGGAGCCCGGGUAACCAGGCCGCCGGCGCCGGCUCGCGGGGACCCGCCACCCUGGAAGCCCCGCGCACACAGCGCAUUCCUGGUAAAGUGAACAGAGUUAUCUGUGACAUUCCAUCAGGCACCUAUGUAACGAAAUCAUACCGUAAUAACUCACCAUGGCGUAUGGAGUGCCAAGAAAGAACACAGUGAAAACCAUUUUGCGGGGCAGUUGUUAUAAUGUGGUCUCACACUGUCACGCAGGCUGGAAUGUUGUGCACCUCCUGGGCUUGAGUGAUCCUCCCAUCUCAGCCUCCUGAGUAGCUGGGACCACAGGCACACACCACUGUGCCCGACAGGAACCUUGGGAUAUUGCAUUGCUUGCAAAGACCUGGUCCACAAACCUAGCCAAUAUCAAGUUGCCUUUCUUGGAAGAAAUUUCAUUUGGUGGUUCUGUGCAGCUCACAAAAUGUACCACCAUUAAAGAUGGACUGCUCCCUUCUGCAGAAUCUAUCAAACUCGAAAGGGAGUAUGAAGUGAAGCGUCUUUGUAAACUGAA